AAUCAAGUGCCUUAAGGGUGUUCGGUGGAUGCCUUGGCGCUGAGAGGCGAUGAAGGACGUGCUACGCUGCGAUAAGCCGUGGGGAGCUGCGAAGAAGCUUUGAUCCAUGGAUUUCCGAAUGGGGAAACCCACCUUCGAUAGCCGGAACUCCAAGACCUUGGUCUUGGGGUUGUGAGAGAUAAUCAAACGAUCCUUGACCGUGAGGUUUUGGAUUUCCGGUUAUCAAGAGAAGGUAUGAGACUUCUGAAUACAUAGGAGGUUUCAAGCAAACCCAGGGAACUGAAACAUCUAAGUACCUGGAGGAAAGGACAUCAACAGAGACUCCGUUAGUAGUGGCGAGCGAACGCGGACCAGGCCAGUGAUACAUCAAAGACAAUCGGAACCGGUCAGGAAAGCCGGGCCUUAGAGGGUGAUA
rnacentral:rRNA from 1 species